UUGCAUUCAUAAUAAAUAAGGGGUUGCUCCUUAUCCUUCUCUUUGCUAUGUUCUCCUUUUGUAGGUAGCCUUUUCCUCAUCUUUGUCUUCUUUUCUUCAAAAACAUUUUAAACCUUCUAGUAAUGAGGGCCAUUUCUUCAUUCUGCUCUUCAUUUUCUGUAUCAUCCGAUCUUCAUCAGGUUGAGCAUUGAAUUUGAAGGUGAUUAUCCUCUUCUUUUUGACAUCUUCUUCUUUGUGUUGUUUCAUGCUUAGCUUAUGUGUCAUCAGUGAUCC
rnacentral:lncRNA from 1 species